ensembl:lncRNA novel transcript
AGAGAGAGUAAUCCUAUCAAAUGCAGGUGCACAGAAAUUAGGAGAUCAGAACAGCUCCUUGCAUUUCUUGCUACAUUUCCAGUAUUUUCCCAUUCCCUUGCUCAGUGCCUUGUCAGCACACCUAGAAUUGAGGGUGUGAUAAGAGAGGAGCAGAAAAGUAAGACUGAAAUAUUGUCCAAUACGACUAAGAAUUUUGCAGAAUGCAAUAAUUGUUUUAAACACAACAGCAGUUUAUGGUUAUCAAGGCACCAAGGAAUAGCACUGCCAAGAAUUUACUGAGCAGUAGGGCUUCUCUGACAGGAACUGCGCAGCAAUGUUCUCCCAGCAGCUUGACGUCAUUCUGCAUUGGUUGGAGUGAGAUUGGACAGAGCGUGGCUGAAGCUGACAGGAAAGAGAUUAUGCAGGAGUAUGAAGUUAAACAAACAAGAGAAGAUGAAGGAGGAAAAGAAGAAGAUGGAGGAGGACAAAGUUUUCAGAAGUGCUUAUUAGAGCUAUUACAUGCCAAAUAUCUACUCUGUGGGAAAAGCAAAUUUCACAUUUUUAUCAACUCUGUAUUCACACAUCUGAUCAAGAGAUGUUAGAAGCCAGUUCUUGAGAAUGGCAGGACCACCUUGUGGACAUAACCUGGGUCGGUGAAUGACUGCACGGAGCAGAGUCCUACCUGUCAAGACGUCAGAUUAUGAUGUGAAUAAGCAAUAAACAUAUAUUUUGUUAAC